rnacentral:rRNA from 1 species
GACGAACGCUGGCGGCGUGCUUAACACAUGCCAGUCGAACGGAAAGGCCCUGCUUUUGUGGGGUGCUCGAGUGGCGAACGGGUGAGUAACACGUGAGUAACCUGCCCUUGACUUUGGGAUAACUUCAGGAAACUGGGGCUAAUACCGGAUAGGAGCUCCUGCUGCAUGGUGGGGGUUGGAAAGUUUCGGCGGUUGGGGAUGGACUCGCGGCUUAUCAGCUUGUUGGUGGGGUAGUGGCUUACCAAGGCUUUGACGGGUAGCCGGCAUGAGAGGGUGACCGGCCAGAUUAGGACUAAGAUACGGCCCAGACUCCUACGGGAGGCAACGGUGGGGAAUAUUGCACAAUGGGCGGAAGCCUGAUGCAGCAACGCCGCGUGCGGGAUAACGGCCUUCGGGUUGUAAACCGCUUUCGCCUGUGACGAAGCGUGAGUGACGGUAAUGGGUAAAGAAGCACCGGCUAACUACGUG